rnacentral:misc_RNA from 1 species
UGAUAUAUAAAUUGAAAUUGAUAUUAAUUUUGCUCAACAUAUACAUCCAAUGGUUCAGAAAUUACUAUUGACAUCAACUAAUUUCCCAUUGACUGGUAAUGGGCACUUAAUUAGCAUUACAACAUCCGUUAUUAUUAAUUAAUUUUAUUAUUGUUAACGCAUACAUGUAGGAAUUAAACGAAUUAUAUGUACUUGACAACCACCUUGUUGUCAUAUGUACUUGACAACCACCUUGUUGUC